CAGCAGCCGCGGUAAUACAGAGGAUGCAAGCGUUAUCCGGAAUGAUUGGGCGUAAAGCGUCUGUAGGUGGCUUUUCAAGUCCGCCGUCAAAUCCCAGGGCUCAACCCUGGACAGGCGGUGGAAACUACCAAGCUGGAGUACGGUAGGGGCAGAGGGAAUUUCCGGUGGAGCGGUGAAAUGCGUAGAUAUCGGAAGGAACACCUGUGGCGAAAGCGGCUCACUGGACCAUUUCUGACGCUGAUGCACGAAAGCUAGGGGAGCAAACAGGAUUAGAUACCCCGGUAGUCCCUGUCUCUUAUAC
rnacentral:rRNA from 1 species